CUACAAAUUCUUAGCAUGAUACAAGGGCAGUUUGUUUUGUAGCAUCCGUGUCCACCUAAUGUUGCUCAUGUUAAUUUAGCACGGCAUCUCUCCCAUGUUUGAGUGGUCACCGAAAAGCAGAAGUCUCAGAUCGAAACGAGAUGUUGUGGAAUUCGGGAGAUCUGUUGCAUCAAGGCAAGAUGUUGAGAUGUUCGGAAGAUAAUCGCUUGAGAUCUACAAUAAUCUUAAUCAUGGUAGAAUAUGGACAAAAAUGUUCUCAGGACAUGGAUAAUUGCAUUUUUCAUGCGAUUCUUUUUCUUUUUUUUUGUUAGUCGUUUCUUAUAAUUUGUACUUGAUUCUAAUUAGCAGACAUAUAAUAAUGUUUGUUAGAUAUUGUCUUUAAUUA